AUUGAACGCUAGCGGGAUGCUUUACACAUGCAAGUCGAACGAGUGGCCGACGUGUAAGUAAUAUAUCUGAACGUGCCCAGUAGCGGGGGAUCACUACUAGACAGAGGGGCUCAUCCCGCAAACUAUUGGACCGGCCCAUAUCGGAUUAUCGAGUUGGUGGGGGAAAGGCGCACAAAGGCAACGAUCCGUAGCGGGUUUGAGAGGACGACCAGCCACACUGGGCCUGAGAGACGGCCCAGACGCCUACGGGAGGCAGCAGUGGGGAAUUUUGGCAAAUGGGGGAAAUCAUGAUGCAGCCAUCCCGCGGUUAUGAGAAGGCCUGCGGGUUGUAAAGUAAUUCUGCCAGCGAAGCGGUAUCUACAGAAUAAGCACCGGCUAACUACGUGCCAGCAGCCGCGGUAAUUC
rnacentral:rRNA from 1 species